UGUGGAAGAGCAUUACACCCAAAUUUUUGACGUUGAAGAAAUACGAACCACAUACACGAUUCAAAAAAUCCGACAAAUUAUUUGUUAAGAUUUUGGUUCUAAACUUUGAUAUUCAAGGCAUGCGGAGAUUCUUUAAAGUGAAAGUUUGUUGAACGGGAGCAGGAGCACAACUUCGAUUUUAACAGGUUGCAUCAUACAAGAAGAUUAGAGAAGUUCACUGGAGAGCUUUCAUACCCAGGUCUGCAGCUGGAAAGAUUCUUAGAAAGGAGUUAAGAAACCUAUUCUCUUCAAAAUUAUAGAGCCUCUUCAUCAACUGUUGAGCUCUUGAGUUGCCUAACAAAGUUCAUGCACUGGUGAAACACAGAAGAAUCAGUUAUGAUGAAGGACUAUAAUGAAGAUGGAGAGCUUUCAUUGACCAAGUUCUCUUAUUUGGUUCAUACACUAGCAUCUAAAAAGGUGUAUUACGCUGCUUCCGGUUCGGGCUUCAAAAACCACCGUCAAUUUCAAGACUGAAUAAAGAAUCUGGGGAUUUCAUUAACUUAAUGGCCUGGAUCACACACCAAAGAUGAUGUGAAGCAAUUGCUACUUCAUCUUCAGGGCAGAUGAUGUUAUAAUUUGACAAUUAGCCACACACCAAAAAUGAUGUGAAGCAAUUGCUACUUCGCUUGAGGACAGAUGAUAAAUAUUGUUAUAAUUUAAGAAUGAAACACUGCAUACAUAAUGUGAUGUAAAUGUUUGGAGUGUUCCAUUUCCAAAGUUCACUCAGUUGUCUAUGUUUGCACUUUGUAUGUUCAAAGUAGUAGCUGAUUUAAUAGAGAAACAAAAAAGGCAUUCGGCACCUGUGCGGAGCACGGGCACACCCAGGG